CUCGUAGGCGGCUCAGCAAGUCGGUCGUGAAAACCCGGGGCUCAACUCCGGGACGCCGGCCGAUACUGCUGUGGCUAGGGUCCGGUAGAGGAGAAUGGAAUUCCCGGUGUAGCGGUGAAAUGCGCAGAUAUCGGGAGGAACACCAGUAGCGAAGGCGGUUCUCUGGGCCGGUACCGACGCUGAGGAGCGAAAGCGUGGGGAGCAAACA
rnacentral:rRNA from 1 species